CAGUAGCCGCGGGAAUACGUAGGGUGCGAGCGUUAAUCGGAAUUACUGGGCGUAAAGCGUGCGCAGGCGGUUUUGUAAGACAGGCGUGAAAUCCCCGGGCUCAACCUGGGAAUGGCGCUUGUGACUGCAAAGCUAGAGUGCGGCAGAGGGGGAUGGAAUUCCGCGUGCAGCAGUGAAAUGCGUAGAUAUGCGGAGGAACACCGAUGGCGAAGGCAAUCCCCUGGGCCUGCACUGACGCUCAUGCACGAAAGCGUGGGGAGCGAACAGGAUUAGAUACCCCCGUAGUCCCUGUCUCUUAUAC
rnacentral:rRNA from 1 species